GAAGAGAGAGAGAGAAGGAGAGGUUUUUGUGCUUUUUUAAUGUCCUCUCCAUUUAGUUAGAGAUCAUUUUCAAUACAAAACCAGAGAGAGAGAGAGAAGAGAGAAGAGAAUUGAAAUGACUUGAAUUGCUUUUCCUUUGUUCUAAUUCCCUUAAAUUACCUUUUCUUUGAAUUCUCCAUUCUUUGUUUUGCAUUUCUCAAGGAUUUUGAAUUCUCAAAUCUUUAUCUGUUUUUUCUGUACACAUUUUGUAGUUUUUAGUCCGAAGAUCUUUUCUUUGAGUGAAGGAAUGUGGGCAGUGUAAUUGACAUGUAUGCUUAAGAUAUGGUGCUGAAGAAGAGACAAGAUUAUGGUUUCAAUGGCUUCCAUCUUCCCUUCAUUCCCAGGGCUCCUAGAUCAGCUAGACC
rnacentral:misc_RNA from 1 species